UUCUGAUCUCUUGAAGAGGGUUUGUCUGAUUCAGCCACAAAGGGAUUGGUUAAAGCACUGCCAUCUUCUCAUAUAGUUCUUUAUGGGACGCCGCUGCCGUAUCCUGGUUAUUGCACAGUUUAUGCAGUUUUGAUUGGUGAAUGCAAGACUCGCAAUGUUUCUCCGGUUUGGUAUGGUACUCACACGUCUCGCAGAGCUUUAUAGCAGUUGCAAGGGAUUGGUGAUCGUUCGUGACCUUUGUAAUGGAAUAACUAGAAUAGAAGUUUGGUGAGUAUUGCAUCUUUUUUCUUUCUUUUCUUUUGAACUUAAAUCGUUGUAGAAUUGGAAUAGCUUUGAAAUUUCAAAUCAAGCUAACCAAGCUCACAAGGCGGCACGAUCAAUUUCUUUAAAUGAUUCAUCCAUGUUUGAAUAUAGUGCCCCUACCAUUGCGAUGUUUCUGUUCAUCUAUAUAUGCCAUCUCUUGAUGCAAUCUAUUUAUAUCUAUGGCACUUGUCAA